GAGCCCGUAGCUCACUGGUUAGGGCGUUUGACUUUUAACUAAAAGAUCGCGGGUUCAAGCCUCAGGGCUUG
rnacentral:tRNA from 1 species